UACUUUUUUUUUUUUUUUUUUUUCCUGAAAGGGGAUUAAUUUUCACUUAGAAUUAUUUGAAUGUUCAAAAAGAUUUUCUGUUUGGUUUCUUGUGGCUGCAUAUUAGGCAAAUCAAUUGAAGAUGUAUUUCUAGAUGAAUCUGCAUAAACAAGGGAAGUCUUUAUUUUAUCUGUAUAUCUGUUAGUGGGAAAAAGAAAAGAAAGAAUGUUAUCAUUUAUGAACCGCGUACAAAUUAAAUUAAUGCAAAAAAGUCUUUUGCUCAUGCCAACAUUAACUAAGCUACACUGCACUAUCAUUUUGUUAUAGUUUAGUAUUUAUCCAUGGAUAUUGUUACCUUAUGGUCUAUUUUUCCACGACAUGUUUAUGUGUUCACACUAUAAAAAAAAUCUAAGAUUUCAUAAUUUUGUUGCAAUUGCCUUUCAAUCCAUGGGACUUACUCAACACAUGGAGGUUUUCCACUUCCUUUUCAAUGCUGUUUCGAUAGCUUCUAUUGACUACUUUAAUUGUUGCUACUUUUCUCUUAUAUAAAAAAUGAAGUUUAUUUUAAACUAACAAGGAAAAGAAUGUAAUUUAAUUCUAUGACUAUCAGAAUAAAUAGGGCUAAAAGAUGUCCAUGGUAGAAGAAUAUUACUUGCUUUGCAUGCUAACUUCUAAAAUUAAUGUUCCUUUGCUGUUAUUUUGCAGGUGAUUGGUCUUCUACUUCAGUUGGUACAAAUUUUACUCCUCAUGUCAUCACUGUCAACGCUGGAGAGGUAUACUUGAUUAAUGAGGAAAAAACAUUUUGCUAAAUGUAAACAUUUAUACUUUCAUUAUGUUGAUAGGGAAACCAUUUCUGUUUUAAAAAAAAACUGUAUUUUAAAUCUGGAUGAAGCUUAUAAUAUAUACAUCUUGUUGAGAAUUACGGACCUAGGAGUGUGAAUCAUCAAACUAGCAAGGCUACAAGUUGAGCUGGGCUUGAAACUGGGCGCCUCAUUACCAAAAUGGCUUGGUUUGGUUUGCCAACAUUCAUAUGCCCUUUAAUUUUCUUGUGCACUGUCGAUGUGGGACUUGUCCCCACAAGUCAUAUUCCAACACAUCUAAAUCUGUGCUAAUUUUAAUAUAAAUAACAAUAGGCAUGGUACAAAGCAAAAUUAGUCUGAGGUGGUUAUCCGCUGACUAUAGUUCUUUAGAACAACUCCAAAACGGUUGAAAUGAGAUGCUUUACAUUAUAAUAACUGCAAUGCUCGCUUAAGAAUGCUUUGGAUCACAUAAGUUAAUCUUCCUGCAGAUAUUGUGUGCAUAAACAAUGAGUAUAACCAGUCAAGUCCUUCAGGGUGUAUACAGUUGCAUGUUUAGGUCGCUACUUGCUUUAAUGUGGAGAGAGUCCCAUGCAUUUUUAUGUACAUGAGAGGGCUUUGGGUUGAGCUAGGUACAAGCUAGCUUUUCUGCUUGUAAGAAAAUGUUUAUAGAGGUUAUAUAUAUAUAUAUAUCAGUACUCAUGGCCAUUGUGAUUAAUAUUUUGAAGGAUCCGAUUAAAAGCCAGGCAAUAAAAGAGUGCCUUUGGCUUCUUUCUGAUUUUCUUAGACUGCUUAUAACUUGGUUCCUGUCUUCAGUAUAUAAAAAAUAGUUUUCCUUGCUAAUUGUAUAAAAUGAGUGAUGAAUGUAUAGCAUUAAUUUAAAAGUUGUAACUUGUAAGGUGAGCCAUUUGCAAAUUUUAAUCUCCAUAUUGAGAUUUAUUUAACUUUGCUGGUGGUUUUCUUUGGUUAAGGAUGUUACCAUGAAGGUUAUAUCAUUUUCACAACAAGGACCUCGAGCUAUUUGCAUUCUGUCUGCUAAUGGGGUAAUUUCUAAUGUUACUCUUCGCCAAUCAGAUUCUUCUGGCGGUACUUUGACAUAUGAGGGCCGCUUUGAGAUACUUUCUUUGUCUGGAUCAUUUAUGCCUACUGAGAGUCAGGGCACAAGAAGCAGAUCAGGUGGGAUGAGUGUCUCUUUGGCAAGCCCUGAUGGUCGUGUUGUAGGAGGAGGUGUCGCUGGACUUCUAGUAGCUGCUAGCCCCGUGCAGGUUGUGGUAGGCAGUUUCCUACCCGGCAAUCAGCAAGACCCGAAACCAAAGAAGCUAAAGAUUGAUGCAGUACCAGCUGCCAUUACAUCUGCCCCAACCAUAGCUUCUGCUCCUGUACCUGCUGCAUCUAAUCCGGAAAGAGAGGAGAGUAUGGGUGGAAAUGGACAUCAAAAUUCCUCUUCCUUCCGGAGAGAAAACUGGACUGCUAUGCAAUCAGUGCAGGACCUGAGAAAAUCGGGAACUGACAUCAAUGUAUCUUUGGCAGAAGUUUAAUUUCGUAUGUCCAUGCCUUUGAGCAUAACUGACUACAUUGAUGGAUACUGGUAUUCCACACGAGUUAUAUGGUGCUCAUAUUAUCUAAAUUAUCUGUAAGCUUAUUGAACCAUUGCUUUAGUAUGAAGUAGCUGGACAGGAGAACAGAUUGUCAGGCUAAUUAAAGUAGGCUUCUUUUAGUUUGCGAUGAGUAGAGUAUUUGGAUGUGAACAAUGCUGGUUGCCUUUUAUAGCUGCGUUUGUUAGUGACGAUUCUCUCAAAUUGGCCAAAUUUCUAUUGCUUCAGAAAGAAAGGAAGACACUGAUACGGUGAUACUGUUGCUUUUUGAUUGGUUGAAAUCUUUAUUUAUUUAUUUUUAAACUUCAACAGCGGGUCAAACAGAGACUCACUGAACUUGAACAUCAAGUCACAAGCGCUAGCCGAAGCCGAUGACUGGUCAGCUGUGGUAGCAUGAGUACUUGGCCUGUUAGCUUGUACUAGUUUAUUAUUAUUUGUAAUUACUCGAUUAACCCAUUCUGAUGGUCUCUCUCGCGGGUACUGUCGACUAUAGGGAAGCAUUAAUUGCUAUAGAAUUAAUGUUUGUUUUAGUGUUCAUCUGCUAAGAAAGGAAAGUUGUACGGAGAGAUUGCCAUGCGGCAGCAUUUAAGCCUCUUAA
rnacentral:misc_RNA from 1 species